rnacentral:tRNA from 1 species
GGCCAUAGCUCAGACGGGAGAGCACCUGCUUUGCAAGCAGGGGUCGGCGGUUCGAUCCCGCCUGGCUCCCCCAGGC